AAACUACAAUAACCUCACUGUGAGUAGCUGAAGCACCGCAGGUCAAAGGACCAGUCAUACUACUGCAACAUCAAGCAAGUCACUGACAAGUGGAUAGACAUCCAAGUGACUUCUUGUUUUGGUCACGCUCAGUAUCCUUGUUUUCUAACAAGCACCUGUACUAUCACUUCAGUGUCCCUACACUGUGGACUCAAGUCUCGUCCAUCCAGAAGGAAAGUGAUCUGUGCACUGAUCGGAUCGAUCACCGUCCUCGUGAUGAUCCAUUGAUCAGGAGCAUUUAG
rnacentral:lncRNA from 1 species